CCUACGGGAGGCAGCAGUGAGGAAUAUUGGUCAAUGGGCGGGAGCCUGAACCAGCCAAGUCGCGUGAGGGAAGAAGGUCCUAUGGAUCGUAAACCUCUUUUGUCGGGGAGCAAAGGCCGGCACGCGUGGCGGUCCGAGAGUACCCGAAGAAAAAGCAUCGGCUAACUCCGUGCCAGCAGCCGCGGUAAUACGGAGGAUGCGAGCGGUAUCCGGAUUUAUUGGGGUUAAAGGGUGCGCAGGCGGAAGAUGAAGUCAGCGGUCAAAGGGAGAGGCUCAACCCCGUCGAGCCGUUGAAACUGGGGGCCUUGAGUUGGCGAGAAGUAGGCGGAAUGCGUGGUGUAGCGGUGAAAUGCAUAGAUAUCACGCAGAACUCCGAUUGCGAAGGCAGCAUACCGGCGCCCAACUGACGCUGAUGCACGAAAGUGGGGGUAUCGAACAGGAUUAGAUACCCGUGUAGUC
rnacentral:rRNA from 1 species